rnacentral:rRNA from 1 species
CCCAGACUCCUACGGGAGGCAGCAGUGGGGAAUAUUGCACAAUGGGCGAAAGCCUGAUGCAGCAACGCCGCGUGAAGGAAGACGGUUUUCGGAUUGUAAACUUCUGUUCUUAGUGAAGAAUAAUGACGGUAACUAAGGAGCAAGCCACGGCUAACUACGUGCCAGCAGCCGCGGUAAUACGUAGGUGGCAAGCGUUGUCCGGAUUUACUGGGUGUAAAGGGCGUGUAGCCGGGCUGACAAGUCAGAUGUGAAAUCCGGGGGCUCAACCCCCGAACUGCAUUUGAAACUGUUGGUCUUGAGUAUCGGAGAGGCAGGCGGAAUUCCUAGUGUAGCGGUGAAAUGCGUAGAUAUUAGGAGGAACACCAGUGGCGAAGGCGGCCUGCUGGACGACAACUGACGGUGGGGCGCGAAAGCGUGGGGAGCAAACAGGAUUAGAUACCCGAGUA